rnacentral:rRNA from 1 species
UACGGAGGGUGCAAGCGUUGUUCGGAUUUACUGGGCGUAAAGCGCGCGCAGGUGGGUGUGCAAGUCGGAAGUGAAAUCUUGAGGCUCAACCUCGAGGCUGCUCCCGAAACUGCACGCCUAGGGACUGGUAGAAGCUGGUAGAAUUCCCGGUGUAGCGGUGGAAUGCGUAGAGAUCGGGAAGAAUACCCGUGGCGAAGGCGGCCAGCUGGGCCAGGUCCGACAC